rnacentral:rRNA from 1 species
AUUGAACGCUGGCGGCAUGCUUUACACAUGCAAGUCGAACGGUAACAGGCCUUCGGGUGCUGACGAGUGGCGAACGGGUGAGUAAUGCAUCGGAACGUGCCCAAUCGUGGGGGAUAACGUAGCGAAAGUUACGCUAAUACCGCAUAAGCCCUGAGGGGGAAAGCAGGGGAUCGCAAGACCUUGCGCGAAUGGAGCGGCCGAUGUCAGAUUAGCUAGUUGGUGGGGUAAAGGCCUACCAAGGCGACGAUCUGUAGCGGGUCUGAGAGGAUGAUCCGCCACACUGGGACUGAGACACGGCCCAGACUCCUACGGGAGGCAGCAGUGGGGAAUUUUGGACAAUGGGCGCAAGCCUGAUCCAGCCAUGCCGCGUGCGGGACGAAGGCCUUCGGUU